AGAUUGAACGCUGGCGGCAUGCCUAACACAUGCAAGUCGAACGGGAGUAGCAAUACUCUAGUGGCGGACGGGUGAGGAAUACGUAGGAAUUUGCCCUUAAGUGGGGGAUAACCCGGGGAAACCCGGAUUAAUACCGCAUGACCUCGAAAGAGCAAAGUGGGGGAUCGCAAGACCUCACGCUUUUGGAGAAGCCUACGUCGGAUUAGCUAGUUGGUGAGGUAAUGGCUCACCAAGGCGACGAUCCGUAACUGGUCUGAGAGGAUGAUCAGUCACACCGGAACUGAGACACGGUCCGGACUCCUACGGGAGGCAGCAGUGGGGAAUAUUGGACAAUGGGCGCAAGCCUGAUCCAGCAAUGCCGCGUGUGUGAAGAAGGCCUUCGGGUUGUAAGA
rnacentral:rRNA from 1 species